UACGGAGGGUGCGAGCGUUGUUCGGAAUCACUGGGCGUAAAGGGCGUGUAGGCGGUCCGCUAAGUCUGAUGUGAAAGCCCGGGGCUCACCCCCGGAAGGGCAUUGGAAACUGGCGACUCGAGUCCGGCGAGAGGAAGGUGGAAUUCCUGGUGUAGCGGUGAAAUGCGUAGAUAUCAGGAGGAAUACCGGUGGCGAAGGCGGCCUUCUGGACGGUGACUGACGCUGAGACGCGAAAGCGUGGGGAGCAAACAGG
rnacentral:rRNA from 1 species